ACUAUGAUGAUAAUUUUGGUCCGUGUUUAUGAUUUUUGUUGAUUAUCUCUUUAACCACUUCCUGAUCAUA